rnacentral:rRNA from 1 species
UACGAAGGGGGCUAGCGUUGCUCGGAAUCACUGGGCGUAAAGGGUGCGUAGGCGGGUCUUUAAGUAAGGGGUGAAAUCCUGGAGCUCAACUCCAGAACUGCCUUUGAUACUGAGGAUCUUGAGUUCGGGAGAGGUGAGUGGAACUGCGAGUGUAGAGGUGAAAUUCGUAGAUAUUCGCAAGAACACCAGAGGCGAAGGCGGCUCACUGGCCCGAUACUGACGCUGAGGCACGAAAGCGUGGGGAGCAAACAGG